GAUGAACGCUGGCGGCGUGCCUAAUACAUGCAAGUCGAGCGAACGGACGAGGAGCUUGCUUCUCUGAUGUUAGCGGCGGACGGGUGAGUAACACGUGGAUAACCUACCUAUAAGACUGGGAUAACUUCGGGAAACCGGAGCUAAUACCGGAUAAUAUUUUGAACCGCAUGGUUCAACAGUGAAAGACGGUCUUGCUGUCACUUAUAGAUGGAUCCGCGCUGCAUUAGCUAGUUGGUAAGGUAACGGCUUACCAAGGCAACGAUGCGUAGCCGACCUGAGAGGGUGAUCGGCCACACUGGAACUGAGACACGGUCCAGACUCCUACGGGAGGCAGCAGUAGGGAAUCUUCCGCAAUGGGCGAAAGCCUGACGGAGCAACGCCGCGUGAGUGAUGAAGGUCUUCGGAUCGUAAAACUCUGUUAUUAGGGAAGAACAUAUGUGUAAGUAACUGUGCACAUCUUGACGGUACCUAAUCAGAAAGCCACGGCUAACUACGUG
rnacentral:rRNA from 1 species